AUAAACGAAUUAAAUGGUAGAAGAAAUUCGGUAUAUUACUUCAGAUCCAAAUUAUACGUGCAUCUCUUAUUGUAUUUCCAUAAGACCCUAGGAUUGCAUCUGAUAUAAUCCAGUUAACUCUUUCUUUUACCAUUAUAUCUCAUUUCAGUGAUUUUCUUCAUCUUCUUUUCUAAAUAUGAUUCAUCUUACUUAUUCAAGUAGGAUGAUUCAAGGAAUAAGGCAAUUGCAAAGCAAUUAGAACAAUCAUAUUGGAUAAUAUGGAAAAUGAAAAACAAGCCACCAAUGAACAUUUGUAUUGAAGUUCACACUAGAAACAUUCAAAUGAAAUGAAAUGAAAAGUUUUCGUAAGAUAAAAAGAAUGAAA
rnacentral:misc_RNA from 1 species